rnacentral:lncRNA from 1 species
AAAGUGAGCUGCAUUGUUUUUUCUCGUUAUUUUUUAAGGUGCUUGAAAAAACGUACUUCUUUGGUUCACCGAGCGCACUGCUUUUACAAAGAAAAGAUUUUACAAACUGAGUAAUCCACACAAAUAGUCCCUUUUUAUGUCUCCACAUUACAGUCACACACAAAGUACAACCCAACUUCAUUUUUUUCCUGAAAUGCACUAAACCGCACGCAUUAACAUAGCAAGAAUGCAAAUGGUUCGCGCUGCCGAACCGCACGCACUCGUCAGACGUAAUGCACACACUGUAAAUGCACUGUACAAGCAAGCUAGCUGCAAAACAAACUUCAGUGAGCUGCAAAACAAUCUUCAGUGAGCUGCAGAUAGGGUCCCCUCACCGGUUGAACGGAUUAGGUGGGGGUUGAUUUGUGACGAAAUGCUCACAGCACUUCUUACAUGGGCACCGCCACCGGACUGCACAACCGCGUGCACCACACUGCACGACACAUGCCGGAUACUGUGAGGGCUCACCACCAAUGGACUGCAUCAACGCACUGCAAAAUAUACCCAAUGGAAGCUUCUGAACUGCACCCAAAUUACAUCAGUUUUUCUGAAAAACAUUGGAAAUUAUUCUGAACAGCAACAAUACCGGGAUGGGAUGCACAUGGUGAGCUGCAUGGCAUCGCGCCUCCGUACUGCAUGCCGUUGGUGGCUAGGACCUCGUCAGAAUAAGAGGAAAGGGGUCGGCAGAGAGGUUGGGGAGAAGAGCCCCUCGUCGUCUUGCUGUAGAGGAGGUAGGGGAAGGUCACCUGAAUGAGGAGGAACUGCUCAGGAUGAAGAAGAGAGCGGCGCCGCGACGCCAAAGAAACUGCACGCGCACUCUUCGUGCACUGCACACACGCGAGAGCAGCUGUGGAGUGCAGGCCGUCGGAGAAGAUCUCACUGGAGGAACUCGCCAUCAGUGGUCGGGUGGUCGGGGGACAGCCGAAUCC